rnacentral:rRNA from 1 species
UACGGAGGAUCCAAGCGUUAUCCGGAUUCAUUGGGUUUAAAGGGUGCGUAGGCGGACUGAUAAGUCAGCGGUGAAAUCUCUCGGCUUAACCGAGAAACUGCCGUUGAUACUGUCAGUCUCGAGUACAGAUGAUGUGGGCGGAAUAUGACAUGUAGUGGUGAAAUACUUAGAUAUAUCAUAGAACACCGAUUGCGAAGGCAGCUCACAAAACUGUCACUGACGCUGAGGCACGAAAGCGUGGGGAUCAAACAGG